rnacentral:rRNA from 1 species
AUUGAACGCUGGCGGCAGGCCUAACACAUGCAAGUCGUGCGGAUGAAGGGAGCUUGCUCCUGGAUUCAGCGGCGGACGGGUGAGUAAUGCCUAGGAAUCUGCCUGGUAGUGGGGGAUAACGUCCGGAAACGGGCGCUAAUACCGCAUACGUCCUGAGGGAGAAAGUGGGGGAUCUUCGGACCUCACGCUAUCAGAUGAGCCUAGGUCGGAUUAGCUAGUUGGUGGGGUAAAGGCCUACCAAGGCGACGAUCCGUAACUGGUCUGAGAGGAUGAUCAGUCACACUGGAACUGAGACACGGUCCAGACUCCUACGGGAGGCAGCAGUGGGGAAUAUUGGACAAUGGGCGAAAGCCUGAUCCAGCCAUGCCGCGUGUGUGAUGAAGGUCUUCGGAUUGUAAAGCACUUUAAGUUGGGAGGAAGGGCAGUAAGUUAAUACCUUGCUGUUUUGACGUUACCAACAGAAUAAGCACCGGCUAACUUCGUG